rnacentral:lncRNA from 1 species
CCUUCUGUAUUUCCGGCAUAUGAGCCCUUAUGACUGCCCAGAUGCAUGUGAUUUCUUGGAGUGUCAAGAAACUACAGGGCAAGUUCCCUACACCUUACAACCUACACUAGGGGUUGGGGCGCCACCUGGUGGCGCCUCUUGAGAGGAAGUUUGUGCGGUGCCAGAUUGACGAGCAACCUUUUCAUCUCUUUUUUUCCAAAUUGAUGAACAUGCACAUAUAAGCAAGGAACUUGCAAUAGAAUCUACACCUGAUAACCAAACAAACAACCUUUGAACAAACAACAAUAUUUUAGAGACCUUGAUCCCAUUGGGUGGUGGAUUAUUCCCAACCAUAUUAAACACUAUAUCGUAUGAAUAACUACAGAAAAUUGUGAAACCAAUCUGGCAUAUAACUAACUGUACGCAUAAGUGGCUAGCAGGUUUAAGCUCGGCCAAGAGUGGAAGUUUAUGAUGACGGAGCAGUUGUUGUCUUUGCUCCUCCUGUUCACUGACUCAAGCUCUGAUAGCAGCGGAUGUUUACAGCGACGCAAGAGAUGUUGUCUUUGCUCCUCCUAUUCACCAGUUGCUCCAUCAGAUGCUCCGCAGCUGCCUGUCCGCCCCUCUAGUGUCAUUGAUCUCCGCAUCUUUUUCCUAGAGCUUACAGAAUGGAUAGUAACAGAAAGAGCUAACACAGAUGUACUGAAGAGGCAACAUUGUACUGCAAUAAAUCAAUAGUUCUCAUCAGAACAGCGCGUACUUUUCAACGAUCAUCUGGUCCUUCACAUUGUUGGCCGACCGGCAUGACAGCUGAGACUUCUGGCAGGCUGACGAUCAGGAGAAUCAACACGAGGCAUAUGGGUAUGCGGCUGCUUCGGGCACUGGAAGAAGAGGCCAUUGUUGAGUGUCGAUGAGGAGAGUGACUGCAAUUAAAAUCUGAAUUGUAUGAUGCAUGAUUACCCAAAUCGACAUGAAGUAAAUACAAUAAGAAAUAUAAAAUUACAGGAAAGAAAUAGUUUGUGGAAAAUCAAAAUGAGAAUUAAAAGCAGAAGAUUUACACAUGACGAUGACCCAUUUUAAUUAAGUUGUAUAAACAGCAACAUUAACAUCAGAGUAGGCUAGAAAUAUAAAUUUAUCAUACAUUGGCACAACUUCUGUUGCUUGAAAUCAGUGCUGGAGAAACAGUCGUAUGUGUCAUAGAAAGACGCAUUAUCAAGGGCAACUUGGCGAUGUAUUCAUCUUCUGAACCACAGCAAGAAGGUUUUCUAAAAAAAUCAUAGUAAGAAGGCAAGUCACUGUCACUGAUUCUAAGUGGUAGUGAGCAAGCGAGUUGCAUGGAAGGUGAAAUGUUCAAGGCCAAUAGCCACGGAUGUGCUUGUGAUAUGACUUCCAAGAGCGAAUGAAAACACUACAACCUAACUAUUAGUUUACAGCAAAGGGAAAGCAUACAUGAUAUAAGGAAGCCAAACAUUACAUAUGUACCAUUCUAAAAUAAGCUGUAUUUGAUGCCAUGAAUGAGAUAUCGCCUAUUAUGGCAAUAUAAAUUGAUAGAUUUUGCCUACUCGAAAGACUUACUUAAGUGUCACAGUAAGUAAUAAUUAACCAAAAUGUUUUUAGUAUCUCAACAAUAAGAAUAUUAUAUAAGUAUACUUCCGUCAAAAAACUAUAUGUUUACUUUCUCACAAAAAUAACUAUAUGUUAACGAAUAUAGUCUACUAACUGAGACAACUUCGUGCAACAAUCCAUUUCUACAGAUGUAUAAGGUGAAUUGUGUUUUUGUAGGCUGCUACAAAUAGUAUGUGCCCUUGCAAAUUAAUUGGUGGUGAAAAAUUCUGAUGCGAAGACAUAUCCGAGCCAAAGCAAAGAGCCAAAGAAGAGAGAUAUCUGAACGGAGUAAGACUCAGCCAACAUACUGUAUCUGAAUCGAGUAAGAGUCAGCGAACAUAUUGCAAGAAGUUAAAAUAACUGGAAAAUACCUGAGCAGGUAUUUGUGCAUUUUGAUCUUGCCUACACACAUUAGGGUGGCUGGUAAGCAAUGUGUUCAAGCAAUCACUAAGAAAAUUUAACUCACUAUCAGUAACUUCAAG